UGGGGAAUUUUGGACAAUGGGCGAAAGCCUGAUCCAGCAAUGCCGCGUGUGUGAAGAAGGCCUUCGGGUUGUAAAGCACUUUUGUCCGGAAAGAAAUCCUUGGCUCUAAUACAGUCGGGGGAUGACGGUACCGGAAGAAUAAGCACCGGCUAACUACGUGCCAGCAGCCGCGGUAAUACGUAGGGUGCAAGCGUUAAUCGGAAUUACUGGGCGUAAAGCGUGCGCAGGCGGUUUGCUAAGACCGAUGUGAAAUCCCCGGGCUCAACCUGGGAACUGCAUUGGUGACUGGCAGGCUAGAGUAUGGCAGGAGGGGGGUAGAAUUCCACGUGUAGCAGUGAAAUGCGUAGAGAUGUGGAGGAAUACCGAUGGCGAAGGCAGCCCCUGGCAAUACUGACGCUCAUGCACGAAAGCGUGGGGAGCAAACAGGAUUAGAUACCCUGGUAGUCCACGCCCUAAACGAUGUCAACUAGUUG
rnacentral:rRNA from 1 species